CUUCCUUGAGCUGCGUCACCCCGCUGUAGUCCGUAAUGGACUGGCCUGAGGUCUCUCUACAAACAAGCGUCUGCUGGAAGAGAGUAGGUGAGUUGUGUUUAGUCUCUUUGCCAAAGAAAUGAGUCAAAGUUAAAAAGAUGUUUGGUGUCUAGUACUAUGUCUGUGACCCUAUAUGUCCUGUUGAUGAAGUUAGGUGCUGUUCUGAGCAUUAUUUGUGGCUAUAGAGUGGCGUUUUGGUUGAGGUUUGUUUAUGGCUCCGCUGUGUAUUGCUAUCCUGCGGUCGUUACUAAAGUUGGUAUAACUAGAGAAGCAAGCGGUCGGCAACAUUCAUCUCUGGAGGGG